CCAGCCUCACAGCACUGCAGAGAUCCCAGUGCUGGUGGAAGUGCAGGCGCUGGGCGCGCAUCGCACCAAUGUUCUCAUCGGCGUGUUCGGGGAUGAGAGAAACCCCCUGAGAAAAAUGUUAUGGAGCUCUGGACGGCUGGCAGAAACCUCCCCAAGCCCAAGGCUGAUGGAGUCUGGCAGGACCCCAGCACUACAGCUGAUAGAUGAGCUUCAUCCACCUAAAUUCAAUCCCCAACCACCAAAGGAGAUGAGAACAUGUUUGGAUUGCCCAGCGUCUCGAUGGAGGCACUUCAAGGCUGGAAAGCAGGAGGCAGCCACAGCCCUGACUGAAGAGCAGGAUUUGACCCAGUCUUC